rnacentral:snRNA from 1 species
AGAUGUGAGGGCGAUCUGGCUGCAACAUCUGUCACCCCAUUAAUCGCCAGGGUUGGUUCGGCUGAUCUGGCUCGCUAGGCGGGUGUCCCCUUCCUCCCUCACUGCUCCAUGUGGGUCCCUCCCGAAGCUGCACACUCGGUCGAAGAGGACGACCUUCCCCAAUGGAGGUGCACCGUUCAUCAGUCAAGGGUAUACAGUAGCUGCGCUUCCCUGCUAGAACCUCCAAACAAGCUCAAGAUCAUAGGAAAGCUCUUGAAAAAUAUUCACCAUUUAAAUACGAAAUACUCAGUGGACACACU